rnacentral:rRNA from 1 species
AGAGUUUGAUCCUGGCUCAGGAUGAACGCUGGCGGCGUGCCUAACACAUGCAAGUCGAGCGAUUUACUUCGGUAAAGAGCGGCGGACGGGUGAGUAACGCGUGGGUAACCUGCCCUGUACACACGGAUAACAUACCGAAAGGUAUGCUAAUACGAGAUAAUAUGCUUUUAUCGCAUGGUAGAAGUAUCAAAGUUUUUGCGGUACAGGAUGGGCCCGCGUCUGAUUAGCUAGUUGGUAAGGUAACGGCUUACCAAGGCGACGAUCAGUAGCCGACCUGAGAGGGUGAUCGGCCACAUUGGAACUGAGACACGGUCCAAACUCCUACGGGAGGCAGCAGUGGGGAAUAUUGCACAAUGGGCGAAAGCCUGAUGCAGCAACGCCGCGUGAGCGAUGAAGGCCUUCGGGUCGUAAAGCUCUGUCCUCAAGGAAGAUAAUGACGGUACUUGAGGAGGAAGCCCCGG